GAGAAGAAACAAAAGAGAAGAAUUUAGUCAUGAAGGCUUAUAAGGAGAUUCUUGACAUGUGUCAAAAUGCCCUAGUAAAUUGUACCGUGGCUAUAGUUCAGAGUAUUUAUUUAUAAAUCAGUUCAUUUAAGAGAUAUCAUUGAAUGACUCUGGACCAGUCACUGGUAUGGGCACUGGAGAUACAAAGAGAGAUAAGGUUGACCUUGACCUCUGGAGCCCUCAGUUUUGUAGACUGUCAAGGAAGCUUACAGCUAAUUGCAUUCCUUUUUCUUUAUCUUUCAGUAGGCCUAAAAAGUGUUUAUCACUCUUUGGAAAUCUGCAGGCAGGUGAACAGACUUGGCUCAUAUGAGAACUACCAAAUUCAUUAAAUUAAGGCAAAAAUAUUCAUCCCGAUUUUUGGGUAAUAAACAAAAUAUAGUAACAUUAAUACCAUUGUGACACAGUGCGAAAUUAAGGAA